rnacentral:miRNA from 1 species
UCUUUUCAUCUUUCCGAAAAUAUCCCCGCCGGAGGCAAAAAACCCUAUGGCGCAACAGAAACUUUCAUGCCUCCGGCGGGGAUAUUUUCGGAAAGAUGAAAC